UACGUAGGGUCCGAGCGUUGUCCGGAAUUAUUGGGCGUAAAGGGCUCGUAGGCGGUCCGUCAAGUCGGCUGUGAAAUCUCAGGGCUCAACCCUGAGCUUGCAGUCGAUACUGGUGGACUUGAGGCAGGUAGGGGAGAGUGGAAUUCCCGGUGUAGCGGUGAAAUGCGCAGAUAUUGGGAGGAACACCAGUAGCGAAGGCGGCUCUCUGGGCCUGUCCUGACGCUGAGGAGCGAAAGCGUGGGUAGCAAACAGG
rnacentral:rRNA from 1 species